ACUCCUACGGGAGGCAGCAGUGGGGAAUAUUGCACAAUGGGCGCAAGCCUGAUGCAGCCAUGCCGCGUGUAUGAAGAAGGCCUUCGGGUUGUAAAGUACUUUCAGCGGGGAGGAAGGGGAUAAGGUUAAUAACCUUGUCAAUUGACGUUACCCGCAGAAGAAGCACCGGCUAACUCCGUGCCAGCAGCCGCGGUAAUACGGAGGGUGCAAGCGU
rnacentral:rRNA from 1 species